AUACAAAAACAAACUAAAAAUAAAUUGAUUACUACAAAGACAGAAGACAAACCAAGCACUUAUGAAGUAAAUAAUAAGUUAGUUAGAUAAACCCAAAUGGGUAAAAAAAAAGUUAUGAAUUUGACAAAGAAAUGUGAUAUUUGAGAUAAAACCAGAUGAAAAGGCUGAGACAUAUCAAAUACCCAUCACAUGUCAGCUUGAAAAAAAAAAUUAGGGAAAGAGAAAAGCUUAAAAAUUUAUGAUAUGUGCAUACAAGGGAGCGUGUAUAGCUUACGCCUUUGGAGGUGAGAGCAGCACG
rnacentral:misc_RNA from 1 species